GGUUCCUUGUCUACCGCUCCCUUGGAAUCAUGGGGCUUUCUUCGUCGUCUAUUGUUGUGACGCUCUAAUUUUCUCCUACAACUCCGUUUACCUUCGUCAAAAUCUGACAGCAAGUGAAACUUGCCACACUGUUGACAGUAUCUCUUGUUCUCUCCAUCAAGUACAACAGUACUAGCAUUCGCGCAUCGUAAACAAACCCUGUGCCUCUUAUGAUACCCCUUAAGCUCGCUAAUAUCAGCCUCGCAGCCAGGCACCUGACACCGAGUAACACCAGUACUGGACCUAGUCG
rnacentral:misc_RNA from 1 species